AACGCGAAGAACCUUACCUACCCUUGACAUGUCUGGAAUCCUGAAGAGAUUUGGGAGUGCUCGAAAGAGAGCCAGAACACAGGUGCUGCAUGGCCGUCGUCAGCUCGUGUCGUGAGAUGUUGGGUUAAGUCCCGCAACGAGCGCAACCCUUGUCAUUAGUUGCUACGAAAGGGCACUCUAAUGAGACUGCCGGUGACAAACCGGAGGAAGGUGGGGAUGACGUCAGGUCAUCAUGGCCCUUAUGGGUAGGGCUACACACGUCAUACAAUGGCCGGGACAGAGGGCUGCCAACCCGCGAGGGGGAGCUAAUCCCAGAAACCCGGUCGUAGUCCGGAUCGUAGUCUGCAACUCGACUGCGUGAAGUCGGAAUCGCUAGUAAUCGCGGAUCAGCUUGCCGCGGUGAAUACGUUCCCGGGUCUUGUACACACGC
rnacentral:rRNA from 1 species